rnacentral:rRNA from 1 species
GACGAACGCUGGCGGCGUGCUUAACACAUGCAAGUCGAACGGAAAGGCCCUGCUUUUGUGGUGUGCUCGAGUGGCGAACGGGGGCGUAACACGUGAGUAACCUGCCCUUGACUUUGGGAUAACUUAAGGAAACUGGGGCUACUCCAGGAUAGGAGCUCCUGCUGCAUGGUGGGGGUUGGAACGUUUCGGCGGUUGGGGAUGGACUCGCGGCUUAUGAGCUUGUUGGUGGGGUAGUGGCUUACCAAGGCAUUGGCGGGUAGCCGGCCUGAGAGGGUGACCGGCGACAUUGGGACUGAGAUACGGCCCAGACUCCUACGGUAGGCAGCAGUGGGGAAUAUUGCACAAUGGGCGGAAGCCUGUUGCAGCAACGCCGCGUGCGUGAUGACGGCCUGCUGGGUGUGAACCGCUUUCGCCUGAGACGAAGCUUGUGUGACGGUAAUGGGUAAAGAAGCACCGGCUAACUACGUG